rnacentral:lncRNA from 1 species
ACAGAAAAUAACUUCAUUCUGCAAUUGAAAGAAUCACAGCAAGCUCUCAUUGUAUCAAGGCAAACUGGCGGUCAUACUCUUCUCUAAAUGAGCCAACACUCCCUAGGAGACCUCAGUAGAACUCCCUCUUCUCUGCUGGAAAGGUUUUGCCUCCCCAGGACCCAUCCCUCACCAUCCAUGCAUGACAUUCUGGCCUCAAGUAUCCACUCCUCAAAGCGCAACAAAAUAACUGAAUGGAAGAUUACAUUUCCCAGUCUUUGCUUGCAGUGAGAUACAAGCAGAAGCCAUCAGGAAAAGAAAUUGGAGAGAUUCGCCUUGAAAAUAAGCCUUCAUAUUAGUGACUUCCUUCUUUUAAAGGACAUCGAACAAGUUUUAGAUGGGAUCUCUCUAUGUUGUCCAGGCUGGUCUCAAAUUCUUGGGCUCAAGAGAUCCUCGUGCCUCAGCCUCCCAAAGUGCUGAGAUGGUUAUACCAGGUGAGAUGUGAGUCACCAAACCCAGCCACCAAUGACUUUUAAAUUGUAGACUUCAAAAUAAUUGUUCAUCAACUUUGGUCAUUUAUAACAAGUACACACUUAUUUCUUGAAAUUCUCUCCACUGUUCACAACAGCAAAGACUUGGAACCAACCCAAAUACCCAUCAAUGAUAGACUGGAUAAAGAA